UAGUCUGCACGUUUGCAUGGGGCAGGCGGCGACUGUCAUUUCCGCCACAGCUGGGCGCGGGCAGAGACUAGAGAUCCGUACGCAGCCGGGGUAUUACAGAUCACCCGAGAUGCGGAACAACGUUAGCUCCCGCACACAGCCCUCUGCAGUAGUACUGGCGCCCGGGUGAGUUCGCACUACUGCUCCAGCGGCUGGCGUGCCAGAGUCGGGCGGCCGGAUCUCCCCUCCACGCCUCGCGGCGGGCCCAGAAAGCACUCUCGGCGCCGGGGAGAGGACGGUGCUGGCUGGAAGAUCUCAGUCCGCAGCUUAUGCCUAAGACCUGCAGGCCAACAAGUCUCCGCUGUGAGCCUGAACAGAUCGCUGCGUGAUACUUAAAGCUGUGGCAUCCACGCUCCACCCGAGCCCAGAACUUUGGCAGAAAUCCGAGAAACUCAGGCGAGCUGCAAGCUCAGACUGGUCCUCAUGCGCAACUCGGGCCUUUAUUCACUUGGCCAAGUCUUGUAUUUCAAGAUUCGUCAAUUUCUGAUCAAGAAUGUGGUACACUUCUGUCUGUUGCUGUAAUAAUGCAUGCUUAUCUUGGUCAGAGCACAUUGUCAUGCUGUACUUAAAUUAUCUGCUUAUACAUAUAGAUAUGAGUCUUUCUCCCACACACUUCAUUCCAAGAUUCUCUAUACUGUAACAUAUAUCCUGAGCAGAGUACACCGUAAUUUAUUUCUCAUCGCUCUUCAUUGGGUAGUUGCAAUGUGCCAGGCACUAAUGCUAAGGGCUUGAGAUAGAGGAAUAAGGAAAAUCAAUUACAGCCUCUGCCCUCCUGAAGCUACCUUAAGAGAGAAGGAAGCAAUCAAGUAACACAAACUUACAAUGAUAAACCUUGCUAAAAGGAAGUACAGGAAACUUACACAUUCAUAGGCUCCUUGAAUGCAGACAGAAGGAGCCAAUGUAAUUGUAGCUGCAUGGCAUAAAUUUAGGAAAAAAUAUUGGUCAACAAUCAAAGAGGAAAAAAGCACCUACAUGCGCUGGGGAUGUAGCUCAGUGGUAGAGUGCAUGCUUUGCAGGUAUGAAGCCCCAGGUCCGGCCCCAGUAUCUCCAGGUUAGCUAAAUUUUGGACUAGGAAUGCCAACUUAUCGGGAGCCGGUCCAAACUGCCAGCCUGAUGACACAGUCCGGGCAGUUGGAUGGAAGGGACUGCACAGCUGUGUUCCCAGAGGAGCAACACCGAUAUCUCUCCUGCUCAAAAUGCCCCUCCUAAUAAAUAUGCUUAUUGGUUUCAAUUCAAGCUACCCCUUCAGGGAAGAGGCCAUAUCCAAUUGUCCCUGAAAAUUUUUGAGUACUGGCCCUAAAGGAAAUUGGAAAAAACCACUACUGCCCUUGUGACUACCGCUGGUGAUGGGAAAGUGAGACCCCAUGAGAAUUGGACCCAAGCUUAUGGGAAAAAAAGAUAAGGAAAAUUUACAUGGGUCGAGGUUCCUUCCCCCGCCUCUACGUGCAUUCAGUGACUAAUGAUGACAGGUGGGUACAGAGAACAAAUGAUAUUCUUUGGCUAGCCCACCAAAGAACAACCUGGCAAACUAUAAAACAAAUAAGAACAGGGCAUUACCUAACUCCAGAUCAGAAAAAUCUCCAUUAUAAGUCUUACUGAAAAUGGGUCUGAGGCACAGUCCAUAAAAUUUCUCCCUAUCUGCGAAAAAGUCAUCAUGUCCUUUUAGAGAAAGCCUCUUUCUUUCCUACCAGAGAUGAAGAAUGGGUGUAUAGCUAUGAAAGAAUGAGGGCCCUACAUAAAAACAAUAGAAUACUGAACAUUAGAUAGUCAUCUGUAAAGAAACCAAGAGUCUGGCACCUACCUAACCUUUGUAAGAUUUUCUGGCCAUAAUAACUAAGAACAAAGCUUACUUAGAAACAGUUAACUGCUAAGACCUGUCAAAUGAUUUAAUCUCAUUCUCCAAACUCGUAACAGUGCCAUGUAUCAAUUGAAUGAUUAAUAACUGUACUGUACUUUAUGUAAUCAAAGAGUAUAUAAUCAAGCUGCUACUUUUCAUUAAAGGCCAGGCUCAGCUUUU